rnacentral:sRNA from 1 species
AAGCUGUCAACAAGGCCGCCGAAGCGUGUGAAUCAUUCCCGCAGCGCGUUGAAAUCGCUACGGAAAACAUGAAUGCGCCCUGUCUUCUCGGCCGUCAGAUGCUUUGGGAGGGGCAUGUCUUCGAGGGACCCGCUAACGCUAAUGCAUGUUUCACUUGAUCGCACCGGUUCAGGGAUUGAACAUGCG